AUGACCUCAACUCAGGCAAGAUUACCCGCUGAACUUAAGCAUAUCAAUAAGCGGAGGAAAAGAAACUAACAAGGAUUCCCUUAGUAACGGCGAGUGAAGUGGGAAAAGCUCAAAUUUUAAAUCUACCUGGUUUCCAGGUCGAAUUGUAAUUUGAAGAAGCGUUUUCGUUUUUUUUCGAUCUGGUUGAAGUUCUUUGGAACAAGACAUCAUGGAGGGUGAGAAUCCCGUGCAUGAUCAGAUCGUGAUAUUUCAGAUACGCUCUCUAAGAGUCGAGUUGUUUGGGAAUGCAGCUCAAAAUGGGUGGUAGACUUCACCUAAGGCUAAAUAUCAGCGAGAGACCGAUAGCGAACAAGUACCGUGAGGGAAAGAUGAAAAGAACUUUGAAAAGAGAGUAAAAUAGUACGUGAAAUUGUUGAAAGGGAAACGAUUGAAGUCAGUCGUACCGACGAGAAAUCAACUUUUCGAGUGCUUACUUGUGGGCGUGCGUGAGCUGCCAAAGGCCUAGCUGUUUGCAUGUUUGUGCUUUUUUGGUGUACUUUUUCGUAUGGUAGGCCAACGUCAGUUUCGAUCACCACAAAAUGAUCGGAGGAAUGUAGCUUCGAUCUCGUAUUGAAGUGUUAUAGCCUUUGGUAGAUGUGGUGAUUGAAACUGAGGAUUGCAACGAAUACCCUUUGGGCUAUCCGUCUGACCUCUGGAAGUUGCUUAGGUGCCGAAAGCUUGCUUAUGGUAUUUAAGACGACGGUCAAAAGGUUAGAACGUGAUUACAUUCGUUAAGGACGUUGGCGUAAUGGCUUUAAACGACCCGUCUUGAAACAC
rnacentral:rRNA from 1 species